AGACCCGAAACCCGGUGAUCUAGCCAUGGGCAGGUUGAAGGUUGGGUAACACUAACUGGAGGACCGAACCGACUAAUGUUGAAAAAUUAGCGGAUGACCUGUGGCUGGGGGUGAAAGGCCAAUCAAACCGGGAGAUAGCUGGUUCUCCCCGAAAGCUAUUUAGGUAGCGCCUCGUGAAUUCAUCUCCGGGGGUAGAGCACUGUUUCGGCUAGGGGGCCAUCCCGGCUUACCAACCCGAUGCAAACUGCGAAUACCGGAGAAUGUUAUCACGGGAGACACACGGCGGGUGCUAACGUCCGUCGUGAAGAGGGAAACAACCCAGACCGCCAGCUAAGGUCCCAAAGUCAUGGUUAAGUGGGAAACGAUGUGGGAAGGCCCAGACAGCCAGGAUGUUGGCUUAGAAGCAGCCAUCAUUUAAAGAAAGCGUAAUAGCUCACUGGUCGAGUCGGCCUGCGCGGAAGAUGUAACGGGGCUAAACCAUGCACCGAAGCUGCGGCAGCGACACUAUGUGUUGUUGGGUAGGGGAGCGUUCUGUAAGCCUGCGAAGGUGGCCUGUGAGGGUUGCUGGAGGUAUCAGAAGUGCGAAUGCUGACAUAAGUAACGAUAAAGCGGGUGAAAAGCCCGCUCGCCGGAAGACCAAGGGUUCCUGUCCAACGUUAAUCGGGGCAGGGUGAGUCGACCCCUAAGGCGAGGCCGAAAGGCGUAGUCGAUGGGAAACGGGUUAAUAUUCCCGUACUUGGUGUUACUGCGAAGGGGGGACGGAGAAGGCUAUGUUGGCCGGGCGACGGUUGUCCCGGUUUAAGCGUGUAGGUGUGUGUUCCAGGUAAAUCCGGUUCACUUUAACACUGAGGCGUGACGACGAGGCACUACGGUGCUGAAGCAACAAAUGCCCUGCUUCCAGGAAAAGCCUCUAAGCAUCAGGUAACAUCAAAUCGUACCCCAAACCGACACAGGUGGUCAGGUAGAGAAUACCAAGGCGCUUGAGAGAACUCGGGUGAAGGAACUAGGCAAAAUGGUGCCGUAACUUCGGGAGAAGGCACGCUGACACGUAGGUGAAGUGAUUUACUCACGGAGCUGAAGUCAGUCGAAGAUACCAGCUGGCUGCAACUGUUUAUUAAAAACACAGCACUGUGCAAACACGAAAGUGGACGUAUACGGUGUGACGCCUGCCCGGUGCCGGAAGGUUAAUUGAUGGGGUCAGCGCAAGCGAAGCUCCUGAUCGAAGCCCCGGUAAACGGCGGCCGUAACUAUAACGGUCCUAAGGUAGCGAAAUUCCUUGUCGGGUAAGUUCCGACCUGCACGAAUGGCGUAAUGAUGGCCAGGCUGUCUCCACCCGAGACUCAGUGAAAUUGAACUCGCUGUGAAGAUGCAGUGUACCCGCGGCAAGACGGAAAGACCCCGUGAACCUUUACUAUAGCUUGACACUGAACAUUGAGCCUUGAUGUGUAGGAUAGGUGGGAGGCUUUGAAGCGUGGACGCCAGUCUGCGUGGAGCCGACCUUGAAAUACCACCCUUUAAUGUUUGAUGUUCUAACGUGGACCCGUGAUCCGGGUUGCGGACAGUGUCUGGUGGGUAGUUUGACUGGGGCGGUCUCCUCCUAAAGAGUAACGGAGGAGCACGAAGGUUGGCUAAUCCUGGUCGGACAUCAGGAGGUUAGUGCAAUGGCAUAAGCCAGCUUGACUGCGAGCGUGACGGCGCGAGCAGGUGCGAAAGCAGGUCAUAGUGAUCCGGUGGUUCUGAAUGGAAGGGCCAUCGCUCAACGGAUAAAAGGUACUCCGGGGAUAACAGGCUGAUACCGCCCAAGAGUUCAUAUCGACGGCGGUGUUUGGCACCUCGAUGUCGGCUCAUCACAUCCUGGGGCUGAAGUAGGUCCCAAGGGUAUGGCUGUUCGCCAUUUAAAGUGGUACGCGAGCUGGGUUUAGAACGUCGUGAGACAGUUCGGUCCCUAUCUGCCGUGGGCGCUGGAGAACUGAGGGGGGCUGCUCCUAGUACGAGAGGACCGGAGUGGACGCAUCACUGGUGUUCGGGUUGUCAUGCCAAUGGCACUGCCCGGUAGCUAAAUGCGGAAGAGAUAAGUGCUGAAAGCAUCUAAGCACGAAACUUGCCCCGAGAUGAGUUCUCCCUGAGACUUUAGGUCUCCUGAAGGAACGUUGAAGACGACGACGUUGAUAGGCCGGGUGUGUAAGCGCAGCGAUGCGUUGAGCUAACCGGUACUAAUGAACCGUGAGGCUUAACCUUACA
rnacentral:rRNA from 1 species